rnacentral:lncRNA from 1 species
GAGUGCUGCGAGCCCUCUGGUAGAGGGGCUCGUCUGAGCACCGGGCUGGACCCUUUCAGAUUUCUGACCCCCUGGCCUCAGGCUCCUGGAUUCCGAGCCUCCUAGAUCUGUCUCGGCUGAAUUACUCUCACCCGUUUCCAUUCUGUGUGCACCAGAAAUCUGAGAUCCAGGAGUAUCAACAGCAAAGAUGUCUAAUGAGCCACCCCCUCCUUAUCCAGGAGGUCCUACAGCCCCACUACUGGAGGAAAAAAGUGGAGCCCCACAUACCCCAGGCCGAACCUCUCCAGCUGUGAUGCAGCCACCACCAGGCAUGCCACUGCCCUCUGCUGACAUUGCCCCCCCGCCCUAUGAGCCGCCUGGCCAUCCAGUGCCUCAGCCUGGUUUCGUGCCCCCCCACAUGAAUGCAGAUGGCACCUACAUGCCUGCAGGUUUCUACCCUCCUCCAGGCCCUCACCCACCUAUGGGCUAUUAUCCACCAGGACCCUACCCACCAGGGUCCUACCCUGGCCCCGGGGGCCACAUCAUCAAUGACUUCAAGGAUGUGACGCACACAUGUCCCAGCUGCAAAGCCUACAUCUGCACAUACAAGCGCUUGUGCUAACAGAGCCAGACUUGGACUCCCCCGCCUAUCAGUCUGGCCCCAUGUGCUUUGCUCCCCAUGCUCAGUGGUUAUUACUCCCCAAACCCCACUUACGGUUGGAAGUUUUGCCACUGUACCCUGGAAAUCCUGUCCUCACCUUGCCCUUCCCUGAGCAUCCGACUCUUCCAGCAAAAUUCUGUUGGAUUGAAGGCCAAGGGCCAGUGGGUGGCAUGGGGGUGGCACUGAUCCUGUGUGUUGCUUGGACAUUUGCAAUUCAGAAGAUAAGCUAGAGUGGCUCUCUU